ACACACGCGCGUUCUCCGCGUGCAUGUUUUUUAAUCCCACCCAGAAAUGACAAACAAGCUCCCUGAUUGGCCAGUUGCCGGCCAGUUGGACUUGAGCGGUCGCCAUGGUGGUAUCGGGGACUCGGCCGGCAUCGUUAGGUGGUGAAUUAUGUGUUUCGUUGUGCUAGAUAUUGCCAAUUUGCUUUGUUAUUUGAUAAAUAACGUUGGCUCAUUCUUUGGUGACCUUGCAUACUAAUACGACGAUAUUUUGAUACCGAUUAUUAUGCAUCAAACAUCAUGAGACAAAUGUGGCGAUUUCCACACCCUUUUGCAGUGCCCCCUCCCCUUGUGUAGUGAGUUAACAGGCUUGUAAGAACCAAGUGAACCAUUUUUUAGUUAAGUGGUCAUGAUCGUCCCUACAUCUAAUGGAUAAUAGUCUUGCGCAAACUUAUGAAGUACUGGAGGAAGCAGAAGUUACGAUUUUGGAGUACGCAAACUUGAUAUUAAAAAAUCUCAGGUAUUUUGGCUAUAUACCUAAAGUGAGAAGAAAAGUUCAAUUGAUCAUUUUUUAUUACAAUUGCAAUAAUGAUAAUAUCAUGAUAAUUGUACUGUCAGGUAUUGAUAAUAGUCAUGUCACGUCAUGCCACUAACCAGGCACACAGACACAACACAUUUUCAUCUUUAUGUAUCUAGGCAUAAGGUAUUACAGGCAUGGUUUUGCACACCUCUCAUGUGCGAGUGGGCAUGGCCUCCUUCACAGUUAAGUUUUGGCUGAUUGUGCUCAAAUUUUGUAAGUACCUACAUGUAAAGGGAUGUAGAUACAGUUAGUCGGGCACUCUUCUUAAUUCAGUUUUGUGCACCACUUCCUGCUUUCACCAUGCUGUGCCCACUCUGCUUUACAGUGGACAGCUGCUUCUGUGACACGCAUUAAUCUUGCAUUCAUUGAAACACUUAGUUUUGAGUGUUUUGACUCAGUUUUGUUGUAACGUGACCUGUGUUUAUGUUUUCAAUAACUUGUUUUGGGCUUCUCAUAUUUAUCUUUUUUCUUGGCUUAGCAGGUUUAGUGUAAAACAAGUUUUAGCUGACAUUUUACAUGUUAAGAUUACAUGAGUGCACACAUUUUAUAAAAGCUAUUUCAAAGUACUGUAGCCAUGUGUAACAUGCAUAUGUCUUAGCAAAUGACUACUCAGCAUGCUGCUUGGUGCUCAAUGGUAAUAGUUUGAUUUGUUUUUGACAUCAAGUAAGAUUUGAUUUUUGUUUCUGAGAUUCCAAUGUUAUUUGCGGCAAAUAUUUUCCAAAAAUCCUCCAUCUAAAGCUUCAACUGAAUUCUGAAAUGCCUGCAUUUUCUACCAGAAACAUUAUCAUUGAUACCUCCUACAAUAUUUCAUUUUGUCACCAGGUACCUGGACUGGUGAAAAGUGAAAACUGAAAUUCAUUCAUGUCACUAUUAUCCUACGACCUACCCCUAAAUGGAAUUGAUCUUGUUUCACAAAUGAGUUGUACAUUGUACAAUGUCUAUCAGCUGAUGUCUAUUGUCUAUCUCUCUUUCAGCACAGAAGAUCCUCAGUGAUAGUUAACAAAAUGGAAAAAAAAAAUUAGCUGUGUUUUUAAGAUUCCAGUGGUGGCCAUCAACUGCUCAGGAAAGCAGCCCAGAAUCACUUCACAACAGGUUUCCAAAGGAUCAUCAUUCAUCAGCACAGAAGGGUGGGAAGGAGAAGGCUGUUCAAAUUCUGAAAGGCCAGAGCUGCAAAGGAGGUCAAAGAUGCAGUGCAGUUGGCCCACUCAGUAGAGUUUCACUAGUGGUUCUGAUUAGAGUUGCAAAGUUUUCCCAAUGGGCUGCUACCGGCACCGCCCCGCCCCACAAACAUUUUCUGGGAUACCGGCAUGCUACCACGCCUCAAGCAAAAAAAACCGCCAAAUUACCGGCAUACUAAAAAAACCUGCAUUAUUGAUUCUGGCUUACCCCUACAUGAGAUGCCACAUUUUGGCAAUUUCAGUAACCGCCCCACCCAACAGCCACCCAUUGUCCAACUUAUUACAAUUCAAUAGCCUCUUAGUGUCCAAAGUUUGAAUCAUAUGCUGAUAAUUUUUUGUGCAAAAUCAAAAAUACCGGCAUGCUACCGGCAAGACAUGCCAGAUACCACGAAAAAACCUGCGGUAGUGAAAAAUUACCGGCAUGCCGGUAGUGCGGUAGGGAAAUUUUGCAACUCUAGUUCUGAUGUGGACUGAAGAUUACACGCUGGAUUGUAUUGGCCGGUCUGGAGCAGCUGUAGUUCAUCAUUCUUGCUGAUUGUGGACGAGUAAGAGCCCGCGUUGGCCCGGAUCGGCGAUCGCUGGCCAAAGCCCACAACCAGUUUGGUGAUAGGCGUUGGCUGUGAUAUCUAGUGUCGCCUAUGUGUGAAAAGGACAAGUUGAUAACAAAACCUGUUGCGCCAUGUUAUUAACCCGCGCCCGGGUGGCCCUCAGCCAACUUGGUGGGGGGAGGGGGGGGGAGGUGUAUUCGGCCACACCAGGUUAUCUGGGAAUGUAGCAAAGCUGGAAAGACGCAGUAAAAUCAAUCUAUAGAUCGCUAUUUUUCUUCAGAAUCAUACAGGUCAUUUUUGAUCAGGUCAUCGCUGAGGUCACUGGAGUAAAUGUAAAAUGAAAAUGAUGACGUAAUUGUAAAAGUAAAAGUAAAAUGAUGACGAAUUUUGGCCCCCGAUUUUGACAACUUCACAAAUUGGUUCAUAAUUCGGGAACCAAAGAAGCUACAGCGCCGCGGAAAAGCGAAUUCGAUAGCUCUUUCGAAAAUCUUUCAGGUUCUCAGAUUUGAGCUAAGGUCAACUAGGGUUAAGCCUCCAAAGGGCAAAAACUGAACAAUCGGCUUGCUUCGGAAGUCGUCUUUUCUUUAUUUUUAUUUUUUUUUAACUGAUACCAACCUUUUAUUACGUUGAUUUUACCGGCACUGCGUUUCUCUCGUCUUCUUGGCCUAACAAGGUCAGCUUAAUAAAUUUGACCUCAGGUCAAUGUCGCAGAAAAUGCCAUUUUGCAUGUCAUUGAUUCGUUACAUUGAAAUUGAGAUUAACAUCAGUAGCGGCGGAACAUCUUCAAUUAAGGGGGCAUUGCCGACUUUUGGUCUCAUUCUUUCCAUGCAACACCCAUAGGGCUAAUGUUAAAAUGCCAAAAUCAAAGGGGGCACGGUGCCCCGGUGCCCUCGGCCUGUUCCGCCGCCUAUGAUUAUGAUGCUUUUAGCGCUCUGGCCACGUUCCAUCUAAAAUUGAUGUACAAAAAUAAACUGUUGGGAGGCGUUACAUGACCUGAGAUGACCUCAGGAGCAUACGAUAGAUCCCGAUGUUUGAGUGCUUUUGUUUCAAAAGCAGAACAUUUCGAGUUCCUCAUACUGACUGAAACUGGAGACGUCGCAAAGUUGACCUGACCCUUGUCACCACCGAUAUCAAAAUUAAAGAUAUUCAAGAUGUUGGUACUGAUUCUCUCAUGCAAUAGCUCGAGUUUCAAACUUCUACUUCAUGGUGACCUGACCUGACCUUAGGUGACAUGGGGUUACUUUUUUCACAAUUGAUGCGAAUCGAUGCAUUAUACAUAAGCUAUACUAAGUUUCGUGUCGUUUUAUCUAUGCAAGCACAAAAUUGUCAGGUGUGGCCAAAAACGCCCCCACGGCCCACCCACCACCCACCUGGGGAACGUUAAAGCAGUGAUGUAUUUUUUCGGUAUAUUCCACGAUGCAUCGAUCGGUGUACUUGAUAAUGCAUUAUUUAUUGCUGCGUGUGUACGCUUUUCCUCUGUUCAGUGUGAUCUGUGAUAGGAAAACUACGGAUAUAUCUCCACGCGCAUGACUGAAAGAGCUGGCGUGAUCUAUAAUAUUGGGUGUCUGUUUUUGUUUGGCAUUUUAUAAAUAAUGAGUCAGC